AGAGUUUAAUCCUGGCUCAGGACGAACGCUGGCGGCGUGCCUAACACAUGCAAGUCGAGGGUUUGAUUUAUCAAGCACUGGCAUCCGGGUGAGUAACGCGUAGGUCAUCUGCCCCUAUCACAGACAUAACAGUUCUAACGGACUGCUAAUAUCUGAUGAGGCGAGCAAUCGUCAAAGCUUUGGCGGAUAGGGAUGAGCCUGCGUCUGAUUAGGUAGUUGGUGAGGUAACGGCUCACCAAGCCUACGAUCAGUAGCUGGUCUGAGAGGACGAACAGCCACACUGGAACUGAGACACGGUCCAGACUCCUACGGGAGGCAGCAGUGAGGAAUAUUGGACAAUGGGCGCAAGCCUGAACCAGCGACGCCGCGUGGGGGAUGAAGGGGCUUUGCCUCGUAAACCUCUGUCGGAUGGGACGAAAGAUGGCUUUGAGCCAUUGGGACGGUACCAUCAAAGGAAGGAUCGGCUAACUACGUGCCAGCAGCCGCGGUAAUACGUAGGAUCCGAGCGUUGUCCGGAGUUACUGGGUGUAAAGGGUGCGUAGGCUGUUCUGUGCGUCAGAGGUGAAAUCCACGGGCUUAACUCGUGGGGUGCCUUUGAUACGGCAGGGCUUGAGUACGAGAGAGGUGCGUGGAAUUCCUGGUGUAGCAGUGAAAUGCGUAGAUAUCAGGAGGAACACCGGUGGCGAAGGCGGCGCACUGGCUCGUAACUGACGCUGAGGCACGAAAGCGUGGGGAUCAAACAGGAUUAGAUACCCUGGUAGUCCACGCCUUAAACGAUGCAUGCUUGGUGUUGGUCUCGUAAGAGAUCAGUGCCGUAGUUAACAUGAUAAGCAUGCCACCUGGGGAGUACGAUCGCAAGGUUGAAACUCAAAGGAAUUGACCG
rnacentral:rRNA from 1 species